UAACACAUGCAAGUCGAACGGCAGCACGGGCUUCGGCCUGGUGGCGAGUGGCGAACGGGUGAGUAAUACAUCGGAACGUGCCCUGUAGUGGGGGAUAACUAGUCGAAAGAUUAGCUGAUACCGCAUACGACCUGAGGGUGAAAGCGGGGGACCGCAAGGCCUCGCGCUACAGGAGCGGCCGAUGUCUGAUUAGCUAGUUGGUGGGGUAAGAGCCUACCAAGGCGACGAUCAGUAGCUGGUCUGAGAGGACGAUCAGCCACACUGGGACUGAGACACGGCCCAGACUCCUACGGGAGGCAGCAGUGGGGAAUUUUGGACAAUGGGGGCAACCCUGAUCCAGCAAUGCCGCGUGUGUGAAGAAGGCCUUCGGGUUGUAAAGCACUUUUGUCCGGAAAGAAAUGGCCUGGGAUAAUACCCCGGGUCGAUGACGGUACCGGAAGAAUAAGCACCGGCUAACUACGUGCCAGCAGCCGCGGUAAU
rnacentral:rRNA from 1 species